rnacentral:rRNA from 1 species
GAUGAACGCUGGCGGCGUGCCUAACACAUGCAAGUCGAACGGAGUCCAGCCUUUAAGACCUUCGGGUCAAAGAGGGGAAGCCUGAGUGGCGGACGGGUGAGUAACACGUGGGCAACCUGGCUCAUAGAGGGGGAUAACAGAGAGAAAUUUCUGCUAAUACCUCCUAAGCACACCCUGCCGCAUGGCAGAGGGUGAAAAGAGAAUCGCUAUGAGAUGGACCCGCGUCUGAUUAGCCAGUUGGCAGGGUAAGAGCCUACCAAAUCGACGAUCAGUAGCCGAUCUGAGAGGAUGAACGGCCACAUUGGGACUGAGACACGGCCCAAACUCCUACGGGAGACAGCAGUGGGGGAUAUUGCACAAUGGGGGGAACCCUGAUGCAGCGACGCCGCGUGAGUGAAGAAGUAUGUGCGGUAUGUAAAGCUCUAUCAGCAGGGAAGAUAAUGACAGUACCUGAAUAAGAAGCCCCGGCUAACUACGUG